rnacentral:rRNA from 1 species
GACGAACGCUGGCGGCGUGCUUAACACAUGCAAGUCGAACGGAAAGGCCCUGCUUUUGUGGGGUGCUCGAGUGGCGAACGGGUGAGUAACACGUGAGUAACCUGCCCUUGACUUUGGGAUAACUUCAGGAAACUGGGGCUAAUACCGGAUAGGAGCUCCUGCUGCAUGGUGGGGGUUGGAAAGUUUUGGCGGUUGGGGAUGGACUCGCGGCUUAUCAGCUUGUUGGUGGGGUAGUGGCUUACCAAGGCUUUGACGGGUAGCCGGCCUGAGAGGGUGACCGGCCACAUUGGGACUGCGAUACGGCCCAGACUCCUACGGGAGGCAGCAGUGGGGAAUAUUGCACAAUGGGCGGAAGCCUGAUGCAGCAGCGCCGCGUGCGGGAUGACGGCCUUCGGGUUGUAAACCGCUUUCGCCUGUGACGAAGCGUGAGUGACGGUAAUGGGUAAAGAAGCACCGGCUAACUACGUG